rnacentral:lncRNA from 1 species
GGCCCCACCCACCCCGCGGCGGCAGCAGCGGCAGCUCCGGAGCUGCAGGUGGCGCCGUGUGCCCCGAUCCCAGAACUGGGCGGGCCCUGCCGGCUCCGCGCUCUGAGGGUGCCGGGCGGGACUGCCGCGGCGCGUCCCCGGAGCUCUGGCUGCCUGAGCCGGGAGAGCGAGUGCUAGGCGGCCCGGCGGAGCGGGGCCCGGCAUGGGGCUCUGCCUGCCCUGCUUGGGGGGAGCCGCCGAGGACGUGGUGGAGACGCCCGACCCGGAAAUUAAAAGAAGACAACUUGCAGAAGCCGCAGAAAAGAGGCAGAUGGAGUGGCAGGUUGGAUAAAGAAGUGUGGCAUCUGAAAAGAAGAGGAUCAAAUACUGCCAAUAACUUGCCAGUUUCUGCAGCUGAGUGGCACUUAUUCAUUGUGUGGCUUUUGCUGUUUGCAUAUGAAGAUUCAACAGUACUUUGCCAUUGCAGUACAACAGAGGUGUAUGCUAAGAAUAUUUUUCACACAAAAGUCUCAGAAUGCAAAACAAAGGUGGCCAAAACUUGUCAUUUUUUAAACUUCUCAUGCUUCAACUUUUGGGUCGGGUGGAGAGUGGGAGAUGCACAGUUAUUUGGGAAUGAACUUAGUAUUUAAUGGUGAUAAAGUGACUAUAUUAUAUUUCUGCUCUUGAAACUAACUUAUGCACAGCUUGGGUAACUUUUAGUGUGUGGGUUUUUCUUUUUGUUUUAGCAUUUAUUUAAAGUUUUGUUGAACUUUGCCUCUUUGUAAAAAAAAAAAAAAAGAAGUUAUCUUCUCUAGAUACUUGUGCUGCUAUCCAUCUCUUCUGUGCUAAUUAUUGGUUAAUUACCUGUGAAUUUAGUGCCUUUAAAAGGCUUUUGGAAAAGCUUGGCUUCUGCAAAUUGAAAUUUUGUGAAAUGUGCUGUAAAAAAAAAAUCACUUUAAAUUAUAAUUGCUUUACAUGCUUUUAUUGAGGUAAAUAUUUUGUGGUCUUAUGCCCAUUCUCUUUUCAUUGAUUCGCCAAUUAUGGAUUUCUUUUGAGUACAUAAUUAUAUUAUAAUAUGUACUGGAAGUUAAUGCUAUUAGCUAAACUAAACAUUGUUGGCUAUUUUGUUUUUUUGCACCACAAGGGGGCAGUGUUGUACUUCUGGAAAUAUAUUAAAAAAUAGAAAAGGAAAAGACCUAUUAGGUCAUCUCUUGGAUAGUUUAUUUCCUGAAAGCUUCUGUACUACCUGGGUGGCUUAACUAUAUAUAGUACAAUAAUAUUUGCCAAGUGCUAGAAGCACUUUUACUGCUCUUUUGUAUCAAGGAAUGUCUGUAAUCCUUUUCCAAAUGUGAAACUGCUUUUGAUUAUUUACAGCUAACUAAACUGGUGUAUUAUGAACUGAUUCCAAAACUAGAAGUGACCUCAGAACACUACUGAGUAGAUGAGGGAAUUUAGAAGUGAUCCUGUUCCAGUAAAAAUACAACUUUUAUUUUCCCUGGAGGGCACUAUGUUUGGCCUAUUAUUGUCCUAGUGACUCCAUUUUUGACGCAGGUUGGACUGUGGAAGUGUUACUUGGAUUAAAUACACUAUCUUUUCCCCUUGAAUCCAAAACUAUCAUCUUAAGUCCACUUUCUUGAAAGAACUAGCUUC